rnacentral:rRNA from 1 species
AUGCCUGCAUAUUUGUCAAUAUUCUAUCAGAAGCAGUUUGCUGCGCACUUAAGUGUAACAGAAGUUUCAGCAUUGGAGUCAGUUUCUUCGUUGUCUUCAGUGUUCUUAUGGCGAAGGAAGUCCCCGGUUUGUAUAGGCGAUUGUGUGCACAUGAAUAUUUUUCAUAAUAUACAAUUAAAUUUUAUAGUAAACACUUCUAUGAUGGUGAAGUUUUUUCUGGAUCUGACCAAGAUGGACAAUGUAACCUGGGACAAUACUUUGUAUCAUAGGAAAUUUUCCAAGUCUUCAGUGUUCUUAUCUUCGACAUAUUCAGUGUUCUUCCCUUCAGGAUCCCUGUAA